rnacentral:rRNA from 1 species
AGUAAUGUCUGGGAAACUGCCUGAUGGAGGGGGAUAACUACUGGAAACGGUAGCUAAUACCGCAUAACGUCGCAAGACCAAAGAGGGGGACCUUCGGGCCUCUUGCCAUCAGAUGUGCCCAGAUGGGAUUAGCUAGUAGGUGGGGUAACGGCUCACCUAGGCGACGAUCCCUAGCUGGUCUGAGAGGAUGACCAGCCACACUGGAACUGAGACACGGUCCAGACUCCUACGGGAGGCAGCAGUGGGGAAUAUUGCACAAUGGGCGCAAGCCUGAUGCAGCCAUGCCGCGUGUAUGAAGAAGGCCUUCGGGUUGUAAAGUACUUUCAGCGGGGAGGAAGGGAGUAAAGUUAAUACCUUUGCUCAUUGACGUUACCCGCAGAAGAGGCACC